AUUGAACGCUGGCGGCAGGCCUAACACAUGCAAGUCGAGCGGAUGAAGGGAGCUUGCUCCUGGAUUCAGCGGCGGACGGGUGAGUAAUGCCUAGGAAUCUGCCUGGUAGUGGGGGAUAACGUCCGGAAACGGGCGCUAAUACCGCAUACGUCCUGAGGGAGAAAGUGGGGGAUCUUCGGACCUCACGCUAUAAGAUGAGCCUAGGUCGGAUUAGCUAGUUGGUGGGGUAAAGGCCUACCAAGGCGACGAUCCGUAACUGGUCUGAGAGGAUGAUCAGUCACACUGGAACUGAGACACGGUCCAGACUCCUACGGGAGGCAGCAGUGGGGAAUAUUGGACGAUGGGCGAAAGCCUGAUCCAGCCAUGCCGCGUGUGUGAAGAAGGUCUUCUGAUUGUAAAGCACUGUAAGUUGGGAGGAAGGGCAGUAAGUUAAUACCUGGCUGUUUUGACGUUACCAACAGAAUAAGCACCGGCUAACUUCGUG
rnacentral:rRNA from 1 species